rnacentral:tRNA from 1 species
GGGCGCGUAGCUCAGUUGGUUAGAGCGCGACUCUUAUAAGGUCGAUGUCCUUGGUUCAAGUCCAAGCGCGCCCA